CGCUCGUUGCUAAUUUUUAAUAACGAGUCUAACCUGCCCAGUGAUUUUAUUUAACGGCCGCAGUACUCUGACUGUGCAAAGGUAGCAUAAUCAUUUGCCUUAUAAUUGAAGGCUAGUAUGAAUGGUUUGACAAGAAUGAUGCUGUCUCUUUUAGAUUUUAUAGAAUUUGGUUUUUAGGUGAAGAAACCUAGAUAUAAUUAAAAGACAAGAAGACCCUAUCGAGCUUUAAGUAAUUUUUGUGCCAUAAUGGUAAAACCAGUUUCACAAAAAAAUUUUGGUUGGGGCGACUAAGGAACAUAAAAAGCUUCCUAUAAAAUAUAUUUACUUUUGAGUUUUGAUCCAAGAAAUUUGAUUAAUAGAAUUAGUUACCGUAGGGAUAACAGCAUAAUCUUUUUUGAGAGUUCUUAUCGAAAAAAAGGUUUGUGACCUCGAUGUUGGACUAGGGUAUCCAGAAAGGUGCAGAAGCCUUCAAUGGUUAGUCUGUUCGACUAUUAAUACCCU
rnacentral:rRNA from 1 species